UGGGGGAUAUUGCACAAUGGGCGAAAGCCUGAUGCAGCGACGCCGCGUGGGGGAUGAAGGCCCUCGGGUUGUAAACUUCUUUUGCUCUGAACAAGGCAUGCCUUUGGGGUGUGUUGAGUGUAGGGGUUGAUUAGCGCCGGCCAACUACGUGCCAGCAGCCGCGGUAUUACGUAGGGCGCGAGCGUUGUCCGGAAUUAUUGGGCGUAAAGGGCUUGUAGGUGGCUGGUUGCGUCUGUCGUGAAAGCUCAUGGCUUAACUGUGGGUUUGCGGUGGGUGCGGGCUGGCUUGGGUGCAGUAGGGGAGGCUGGAAUUCCUGGUGUAGCGGUGGAAUGCGCAGAUAUCAGGAGGCAUCCCGGUGGCGAGGGCGGGUCUCUGGGCUGUUACUGACGCUGAGGAGCAAAAGCGUGGGGAGCGAACAGG
rnacentral:rRNA from 1 species